rnacentral:sRNA from 1 species
UCACAAGAACUGGAAGAGCGGGCCAGGCCUGCGCCGCGGACUUAGUGGGCCCUGCCCCUCUGCCAUCCCCUGGAUGGAGCCAGUACAAAGAAGAAUCUGAUAGUGUGUGACUCUUGACUGGGAUCCUCAGAUCACGACUUUACCCUUGAUCUGCUGGACUGCCUUCUACAGAGAAAGCCAGCUGACAUGGAGAAUGCUCUGGAAGCCCUAGGGAAGCGGACAGCAGCCUGGCAGUCACUUGAGAAACAGCCUUCUCUCUGUGGUGACACCUUCAGAAAACUACACUCUCGUGAGUGAUCCCAUCACACAACUCAACUGAGAUAGCUUCCAAAGUCCUGACUCACAGAUGCUGUGGAGACAAUACACGUUUACUGUGUUAAGACGCUAAAUUUGGAGUGUGAUCUUUUUGCAACUGAUUGAUUUAGGUCAACCCUAUUAAAAAGGAAAAGAACUGGGACAUAAGAGAUUUAGAGGAAACGGUGGGAAACAAAACAAAGCCGAUUGGGGAAGGUGGCUAGGGCUGAGGUUAGAGGAGUGUGGAAUGAGAGACAAUGUUGAAAUGCUUAGUAUUGUGGUAUUUUGAAUUCGCUUGGCCCAGGAAAGGGCGCUAUAAGGAGGCAUGGCCUUGUUGGAGGAAAUAUGUCCCUGUGGGGGUGGGCUUUGAGACCCACCUCCUAGCCACAUGGGAGACAGUCUUUUCCUGUUUGCCUCUGGAACAAGAUGUGGAACUCCCAGCUACUCCAGCACCUUGCCUGUGGACCCUGCUGUGCUUCCCAGCAUGACAAUAAUGGAGUGAACCUCUGAAGCUGUAAGCCAGCUUCAAUUAAAUGUUAUCCUUUACAGGAGUUGCCUUGGCCAUUGUGUCUCUUCACAGCAGUGGAAACCCUAAGGCAUGUAUCGACUUGUGGAAGGCAUAAAGUGCCCAGUUAACAAGGUGUGAUUUAUUCUGCAUGCAAGGAUAAGUAUUAGCUGCAUCACGCAUGAGUUUGGGGGAAGAUUAGUACUUCAGCUUUUAUUUAGGGGAGCAGGAAGGGUAGACUGAAGGAGGAAACAUCAAGCUAAGGGACCACUUUACACACUCAUGUGAAAGGUAAUGUGAACUGAGUCAAGGCAGCACCAAGCAAGUUGCAAGAGUGGAUUUAAUUUGUAUAGGAGGUAGGUGAUAUUGUUAAUUAAUAGGAAGGAAACUUUUUAAUUGACUGUAUGAAAGGAUAAUAAUAUUCACCCAAAGUCUAUGACACAGAAGUGGUGCAUAGUUGUUAUGAGGGAUGAGGUGUAAAUGAGCAAACCCCUUACUGCUUUCUCAUCACCAAGAUAUAAACUCCAGGAUCCUCCACAUCCACAGGAAGCCAGGUUGGGACAGAAGCCCUGGCUACCCUCCCCAACCUCCCACCCCAGGCAAUAAGGGGACACUCUGGUCAUUUUCUCCCCGGAAUGUGUUAUUCUUUCUGCCUCAGAUUACCAGGCACUCUCUACCUAAACAGGGAUGUUAAUCCCUGUUUCUAACUCAGUGCACUCUACAAGAUAAAACUCUCUUUUCCAGACUCUGGUAGGAUACUUUGUGUCAUCUCGAACUUCAAUUUCAAUUUGAGUUUUGACAAAGGUGGUGAAGCCCUCCCCCAACGAAGGCAAUGAUGUAGAGAGCCUGUUCUCCAAAUAGAAAAGGGAAAAAGAAGAUGUCUAAUUGAUAUCUCAAGAAGUUAUCUCGUGAGUCACCCAUUGAGAACACACCUACAAGUAAAUAAAACAGCCCUGCCCUCUUGUGAUUACCAGUGUGAACAAAGGCAGUCAAAAGGGAAAUGCCAUAAAGGCUGUGUUGGGUAUAUAAUCAAAAUUAUAUAUGAAUCUGCAAGAGGGAAAAACUAAGCUAGGGCCUUGCCAGGAAACCAGUUUAUGGUGCCAGAUGUUUACUGUAAUCUUCACAUUAUUUUCACUCCACCAUGCCUGCCCUUGCGUGCUUAGUUCUUUUUGUUUGUGAACUCGGCCAGGUACAGAGGAAAAUGACAUCAGUCUUGAUGCUCUGUCCAGCAACUCAAUCGACGCCCAGUCAUCUCUCUGUGUGAUCCAACCAAACACUCCUUCAAAGCCUCAGUAACGCUCUGCUUGACUAGUUGUUCAGUUCAGUGUCAGCGUUCUCUUUUUGAGGGGCCCAACGGCUGCAGCGAACCACCUGUGACUGGAUUCUCCACUGAGCUAUGUCAGGUCUCCUCCCUAGACACAGAACUUUCUCACAGUACCCUCCUCGGGCUGAAGUCCUGCUCCUCUCUCUUUGUACGACAUGGGUCCACUAUCUGGUUCCCACAUUCUUCUCCACCAUCACCCACCAGAAUGGAAAAUUGCAUCAUUGAAAACAGAGACUCAUACUCCAGGCUGGCCUUUAACUUCCUAAGUGCUGGAGAUGGCCUGGACCCUCUGAUCCUCCUGUUCCUAAGUGCUGGGACUGCAGGCUUGCACCACCACGUUUGGUCUAUGAAGUGCUGAGGUUUAAAAUGGAGUCAAGCACCGAGCUACAUCCUCAGCCUCAGGCGUGCAGGGCAGGGGGGUGAGGGUGGGAUGGGGAAGCCAGGUGGUUUUAAGUAAAAUGUAUACAAAGUUCAAUAAGCUUUACUAUUUUCAUUUUUAUAUUAUUUUUGAAACUCUAAAACCACAGUUUUGCCAAUACAACUGCAUUUUAUAGUGAUGUAUUUUGUGAUAAGAAACAUAGAGUGAUGACAUGUGCCUGACAAUACAUUAACUCAUAGUUAAUGGGUCAUUAAAUGUGUUAAAGACCUAUUAGUGGUUACUGUCAUUAGGGAGAGAAGACAGAACUCCUCAGCAGGGGAAGAGGGCACGGAACAUCUGAGGAUGAGCAUAGUAGCAGGCACUCUCAACGUCUCGUUCUAUUCUGAUUUAGGAAGAAAUCAUUUUAUCAACCAUCUGUAAUGGGAUCUGAUGCCCUCUCUAGGUAUGUGUGAAAACAGAUCACUCAUAUACAAAAAAGAAGAAGGAAGGAGGAGGAGGAAGAGGAGGAGAUGAUGGUGGUAGCAGUGAUGGUGGUAGUGAUGAUGAUGGUGGUAGUGGUGAUGAUGAUGAUGCAAGGCUGGGAAGAUGGCUCAAAGAGUAAAGUUCUUGCUGUACAAGUAGGAGGACCUGAAUUUGAAUCCCCACACCCGUGUAAAGCAGCACACAGUAGCACACCUAUAAUCCUGGCCACUCUUACUUCAGGAUGAGAGAGAGAGAGACAGGAAAUCCAUAAACUCACAAGCCAGCUAGCCUGACAGUAGGAAACAGAAAAAAAAAAUAUAUAUAUAUAUAUAUAUCCUGCCUCACACUAGGUAGAAGGCAGGGACCAAUACCCAAGGUUAUCCUCUAACCUACACAGGCAUGCCAUGGCAAGCCAAUGUUCUCUCAUAUGUACACACACAUAAAGAUUUUUAAAAGGAAGAAGUAGAGCUGGGUAAGGUAUCUCAUGCCCACAGUUCUAGCCACUCGGUGGGAUGAGACAAUAGAAUAGCUUGAGCCAGGAAUCUUGCUAGCUUAGGCAAAACCGUGUGACUUUCAACUCAAAACAUAAAAACAAACAGAAAGAAGAAGACGCAAACGUCUUAGCCACUGCGCAACAUGCCCAUCCCGUACAAAUAUUUGUUCUCUCUGGCCCUUGACCUCCUCGUCCCCUCCAGUCACAUGGGUCACUUACUCAGCAGUCCAGGCUCUGCCAACCUAUGCAUUCUGAUCCAAUAGCUUCAAACGUGAUCUUCUGUCCCAUCCCAAAACUGUUUAUCUUUUCCUCGUUUAAGUCAGUCAGUUCUGUGUGUUUUCUCUGUCUUUUCCUAUCCUCACAUCAAGAUAGAAAUCCACUCCACUACUCUACAAAGCCAUUAUAGCUCUUGUAUGAGUACUAAGUACAAGUACCACACUCACAUAUUUACUUGACUUUUGUUUCCCCCAAAUAGUGAAUCCCUUCAGGGAAAGGGCUGCAAGGUCUUUUCCCUCCAACAGAGGGUCAAAUAGUAACUAUGCUAGGCCGUCUGAGCCAGAGAACCUGUCUGCUGCAGCCUCUCGGCUCUUUCAGUGAACAAUGAAAGUAAACAAGAGCAGCAAUGCACACGAGCAGCCUGUGUUACGAUAAAACUUGAUUAUUAAAAAAACUCGAAUUCAA